ensembl:lncRNA
CUGACAGUUUCAAACUGCAGUGAGGAAAUAAGGACGGCCCUGUGCAUUGGCCCAGAGCUUGAGCAACCUGCUGCCUGAUUGGCCCGAGGGCCAGGGGCGGGGCUCCGGAUGGUGGCGACCUGGAGAAGCCGGAAUUAAGUUACUCUGGGAGAGCCCCGCCCCCAGCUCGCGCCGGAUUUGAGGGGGCGGGGUCUUAGGGAGCCCCGCCCAGCGUUUGCGAGGCGGUGCUCAGUUCGAUUCUGAGGUGGCUUAGGAGGCAGAUUUUGUUAACGCCUGCGGAGCAGGGCUGAAGUCAGCUAGGGCGGAUCAAGAUGGUAAUGGGAGUGCCUCAAUCUGGAGAGCAAGUAAUGAGACCCUCCAUGUCCUCAGGUGACCUGUUGCUGAGACGUCAGAUUCCCCCAGAGACCCUGCAGGUACCCAAGAUGGCUUCACCUCUCCUACUGCCCUGCUCUCUGUGCAGCUCUGCACUCCCAGACCCCUGCCGCAGGCACUGCCACUGGUGGUCCUGCUACAUCAGGGUGAAACCUCCCGGGUCAGAGACACUAAUGUCUCUGCUGAAUGCAUUGGUCCCUGCUGCUGGCAGAAUUGCUAGAGUCCUGCCUAUCAAUGUGGACACUGCUGGUGGCACUGAUGUGGUAAAGACUUCACAGCACAAUAGGGUCAGUGCUGAAGUGGGAAGGAUCUGUUUAUGUCUUUUGUCUUAAGCUUUUUAACUGGGUUCCAAGACAGAUCUUCCUGGUGUUGCCACUGACUAGAGAGAAUUUAGUUAAGGAACCUUUGGUUAGCUGCCUUCCUGAUCCCUGUUACAUAGAAUUAGUGCUGAGAAGUAGCUGUGCAUGUGUUUAAAAAACGUUCCGAGCCCUCCACCCUACCUCUGAAUGCAGAGGUAGGGACCUAGUUUCCCACAAUGUGAACAGAGCUGAUGUGUAUCAUUUCCAGGCCAAGGAGUUUAAGAAGUAGGUGUACCUCCUUUCUGGUCUUUCUUUCCUCUCUGUCUGGCUCAAAGACCUCAGGGAAUAUCAGAAUAUAGGAUGGAAGGAACCAGGACAUCCACUAUAGACUCUUCUAUAAGCAAGAAAUGUAUUUUCUACGCACUUAAAAUGAUUAAAACAGUAAGUUGCAUGUCACGUAUAGUUUACUUCAAUUAAAAAACCUAUUUCUACAGAGAUAAGUGACUGAAAAUUUGAGGUUUAUUUGUACAGCAGCUAAUGUUAUCCUGAUUGUUUCUCAGCUCCCCAAGUUUGUUCUAUUUUAGGCUUCGUUUCCCAGAACUCUGGUACAAGGCACACCCAGAGUGCAAUAGAAGCAACACUCAAAAUUCCUCCUCCCUUUUCACAUUGGCCCUUCGUCCUUGGGAAAUCUUUCUGUGUCUGGACCCCCUUAACACUGCUUUAAAGACCUUUCUAGAAACAGACUCUUUUAAUUAUAAAAUAGUUGUAUAUUUAUUAAAACAACUAUAUCAUAAAUAGUUACAUAUUAUAUAACUAUAAUUAUAUAGUUAUAUAUAUAUAUUAUAUAACUUGUCUUUUCCUAACCCUAACCCUAACCCCAGGGACAAGACCCCAGAGACAAGUUGCCUGGCUCUGAACCCCAGCUCCUUCCCUUUCUAGCUGUGUGACCCUAGGCAAGUUACUCACCCUCUGUGUGUCUCCAUUGUCUUAACUGCAAAUGGGGCAAUAACAUCACUUACCUUCAAAGGUUCUU